AGACUUAGUUAUUUUCUUUAAUGUUAGUUUAAUAGAGGAGCUGUGAUGUAUAUGUAAUGCUAACAACAUGGAAUUCUAAAUAAUAAACAUAACUCCAAUUAUGUAAAUGAGAGAUACCUACAUUGGAGUUAAUAAGUUAUUUGUAGCUUUAAGAGCCAGAAAGAGCCAGAUUUUAUUAACAACCUAUGGAAUGUUUUUGGUAGGUUAGCAUUUGUUAUUUCUUCCAAGAUAUAUUUUAAUCAUAAUAUUUAAAUUUGAGUGUGAACCCUAGUGAUACCUAUUUAUUCCCAUAGUCUGUCUGAAGAAGUAAGUAGGUGAGCAUGGAGGAGAAUUUAAAAUGCUUAUCCUGGUGUUCCCGUCAUGGCACAGUGGAAAUGAAUCCAACUAGGAAUCAUGAGGUUACUGCUUUGAUCCCUGGCUUUGCUCAGUGGGUUAAGGAUCUGGCAUUACCAUGAGCUGUGAUGUUAAGUCCGCAGACGCGGCUCAGAUUUGGUGGUGCUGUGGCUCUGGCAUCAGCUGGCAACUGUAGCUCUGAUUUGACCCCUAGCCUGGGACCCUCCAUAUGCUGUGGGUGUGGCCCUAAAAAGAAAAAUCAAGAUGCCUAUCCUAAGUAGAAGACCUGGAAGGUCAGGUUCUUAUGAAACCACAAAGCACCACACCUACUUGGAAAACCAGUUUGUGCUGAGCAGGAACAUGCAACUGGGACUGAGCUGGGGUGGAUUCUUUCAAUUUCUUUCAAUUUCUUUCCCUUUGCGUGUUUUCCACCCUAUCAGUCAUUUCAAAGGCACAUGGAUUUAAAUAGUGACAGACACAUUUGAUACUUUACCCUUUAGCCCAGUAGAGUGUGUCUACUUUCCUCACAAUAAUGAGGAAUUUGCAAUAUCACAAGAUCUAAAAACAUUUAUAGGAUAAAAGCCAGGCUUAUAAACCUUGUUUUACUGUAUGCUAUUAUUGUGCUAUGUUAAAUGGAUAUACUCUGUUUUUUCCCUAGAGGAAAUCGUAGUUUGAAUUCUAACUAAUAAGUAUUUAAUUGAAAAGAUGUGUUUGAAAUGGAUUUCAUAGAUAUUUUUCUGGAAUGGGCUAGCACUUAGGAGAAGUUAGACUUUAAUUUCUUCCUCCCAUUUUCCAUAUAUAGUAUGUUAUAUACCUUCUACUUUUCAUAAUAUAUAAUGUGAUCAAAAUUUGGUAUUAUACUAAUAUAAUUUGUUGAAGUGAAUUUGACCUGAUUUGAAUUAAAAGCUCUUUGGAAAUGAAUAUGUUAGGAACUAGAAAUGCUCCUAUAGGUGUUCCUGGAUACUGUACUAGUUCUCUCAUAGACUUUUUGCAUUAUUCCAUCAAAUAGGAAAUAACUGAAACCCCUCAAGCCCAAGUUAUACUUUUUUUUGGGGGGAGGCGGUAAUUUACUGUUUUGGAAUUGAAAAUGCAUUUCUUCCUUUGAAACCCAUGUAGUACAUUGAGCGAGGUUCCUAGGACAGAAUUUCCAGAGAUCUUUUCAUCCUAAAAUGGGAGGCCUUGUCUGAUUUCUGGAUCAUUGUUGACAACUACAUAACUGGAAAUGAGAAGAAGCCCUAGAAAAGAGAAUUCCAGAGGGAUUUCACCUUACAAUAUUGCUGAAUUAAUGAUACUUUGAAAAAAGCACUACGUUGCUAAAGCAGAUCUUAAUAUGUUCCUGUACCAUCAUCAUAAUGAUAUGUAAAAGUUUUUUUCCUAUAACUCUUUCUUAAUCUCAACCUUUUUCCACUCACUUUUUUUUUUUUUUUUUUUGGUCUCAAUUACCUCACUUAUUUCCAUUUUAAUAUAUAGUACUGGUAUUUUUAUAUGCUAUCAAUCGCUUUGUAAUAAAACAGAAAUAAUUUUUAAAAGUAUCACAUUUAAGAUGUAUUACAAACCACUAACAGAGCAAUUGGGAAAGAUGGAAUAGAGCACUAGACUUGGGCUCAGGUUCUAGCACCACAAUUUUCCAAUUCAGGGCCAAAACUUUGGCCUCUCUCAAGAGACUAUUUUUCUCAUAUACUCUAAGAUCUUAAUGCUGAUUAAGUCAUGUUAUAUUUGGGAAAGUAUAUGGCAUAAACUAGAAAGAUAAUUACAUAUUAGUUGAAUCUAUAUCAGGUUUUCAUAGGUUAGGGAAAAUAUAUUGUGGUUUUUCUUCCUUUUUAAAUCUGUUAUUCCUGUGACCGAAUUGUUACAGUUUGGUGCAUUCACUAGGAAUGAGUCUAGGCAUUCUGGAUUUUGAGCAUUUGUGAAAAAUCUAAUGAAUGCCACAUCGGUGCUGUGCCCAGAGAGCUUCCUCUAGAGAAGGCUUAUCCCUUGAACUUCCAUGUUGCAUCAGUGCCAGUAGACAGAACCUAUGACAAGAGGAAGCCUUCUCCAAGCCUCCAAAGCAGCACCCUGAAACAUAUAUUCUUAUAGACUUUGUGCUAUAUAGUAUUGAUUUGUCAUGGUUUUCCUUCAAAAGCCAUUUUAUUCUUAACACAAUUAAACAACAGUGCAAUUGUGAGAAUAUAACUAUACUCCCUGUAUUUCUUGUUACAAAUGGGCCUUUCCCUGAGGUGGGUCUAGGCUCUUUUAUGGAGACCUGUCAUCUUCAUGUUGGCCUUUGUUCUGAGCCAGCUUUUUCUUCAGACUGGAACUUCCUUCAGUCUGUUUCAUAUCCAAGCCAAAAAACUCUGUACCCAUGAACUCUAUUAAUGAAGCUGUAUUAUACUGUGAUUGGAAACCUUUUUGGGAGUUCCCUUGUGGCUCAGCAGAAACUAAUCUGACUAGCAUCCUUCAGAAUGCAGGUUCACUCCUUGGCCCCGCUCAGUGGAUUAAGGAUCCGGCUUUGCUGUGAACUGUGGUGUAGAUCACAGAUGGGGCUCAGAUCCUCCGUUGGUGUGGCUAUGGCGUAGGCCUGCAGCUAUAGCUCCAAUUUGACCCUUAUUCUGGGAACCUCCACAUGCCAUGGGUGUGGCCCU
rnacentral:lncRNA from 1 species